CAAUCCGCUCUUUUCAGAGCGACCAAUUUUUUAACGUAUGGAGUAU
rfam:Camponotus floridanus CamFlo_1.0_2.contig2557, whole genome shotgun sequence.